rnacentral:rRNA from 1 species
UGCGUAGGUGGUGAGGUAAGUCGGAUGUGAAAUCUCCGAGCUCAACUCGGAAACUGCAUUGGAAACUACCUUGCUCGAGGGUUGGAGGGGGGACUGGAAUACUUGGUGUAGCAGUGAAAUGCGUAGAUAUCAAGUGGAACACCAGUGGCGAAGGCGAGUCCCUGGACAACUCCUGACACUGAUGCACGAAAGCUAGGGGAGCAAACA